AUUGAACGCUGGCGGCAGGCCUAACACAUGCAAGUCGAACGGAGUGGCAGACGGGUGUGUAAUGUCUGGGAAACUGCCUGAUGGAGGGGGAUAAAUACUGGAAACGGUAGCUAAUACCGCAUACUAUCAGAUGAGCCUAGGUCGGAUUAGCUAGUUGGUGGGGUAAGGGCCUACCAAGGCGACGAUCCGUAACUGGUCUGAGAGGAUGAUCAGUCACACUGGAACUGAGACACGGUCCAGACGCCUACGGGAGGCAGCAGUGGGGAAGAUGGGACAAUGGGCGAAAGCCUGAUCCAGCCAUGCCGCGUGUGUGAAGAAGGUCUUCGGAUUGUAAAGCACUUGAAGUUGGGAGGCGUUACCAACAGAAUAAGCACCGGCUAACUUCGUGCCAGCCGCCGCGGUAAUUC
rnacentral:rRNA from 1 species